CCUACGGGAGGCUGCAGUGGGGAAUAUUGCACAAUGGGCGCAAGCCUGAUGCAGCGACGCCGCGUGAGCGAUGGAGGCCUUCGGGUCGUAAAGCUCUGUCCUAAGGGAAGAAUAAUGACGGUACCCUAGGAGGAAGCGCCGGCUAACUACGGGCCAGCAGCCGCGGUAAUACGUAGGGGGGGAGCGUUAUCCGGAAUAAAUGGGCGUAAAGGGUGCGUAGGCGGCCCUGGAAGUCAGGAGUUAAAUCCCUCGGCUCAACCGACGUCAGUUCUUGAAACGGUAGGGCUUGAGUGCGGGAGAGGCGAGCGUGAUUCCGGUUGUUGAGGUGAAAGGCGUAGAUAUUAGGGGGAAUACCAGUGGUGUAGGGGGCUCUCUGGACUGCAACAGACGCUGAUGCACGAAAGCGUGGAGAGCGAACCGGAUUAGCUACCCCGGUAGUC
rnacentral:rRNA from 1 species